AUGUCAGCAGCCGCGGUAAUACCAGCUCUCCGAGUGGUGGGGAUGAUUAUUGGGCCUAAAGCAUCCGUAGCCGGCUGGACAAGUCCCCUGUUAAAUCCAACGAUCCAAUCGUUGGUCUGCGGGGGAUACUGUCCGGCUUGGGGGCGGGAGAGGCCGCCGGUAUUUCCGGGGUAGGGGUGAAAUCCUAUAAUCCCGGGAGGACCACCAGUGGCGAAGGCUGUCGGCUAGAACGCGCCCGACGGUGAGGGAUGAAAGCUGGGGGAGCGAACCGGAUUAGAUACCCGGGUAGUCCCAGCUGUAAACGAUGCAGGCUAGGUGUUAGGGCGGCUACGUGCCGCUCUAGUGCCGCAGGGAAGCCGUUAAGCCUGCCGCCUGGGGAGUACGGUCGCAAGGCUGAAACUCAAAGGAAUUGGCGGGG
rnacentral:rRNA from 1 species